UACGGAGGAUGCGAGCGUUAUCCGGAUUUAUUGGGUUUAAAGGGUGCGUAGGCGGGCUGUUAAGUCAGCGGUAAAAUUUGGAGGCUCAACCUCCACGAGCCGUUGAAACUGGCGGUCUUGAGUGGGCGAGAAGUAUGCGGAAUGCGUGGUGUAGCGGUGAAAUGCAUAGAUAUCACACAGAACACCGAUUGCGAAGGCAUCUCACGAAUCCGCUAUUGACGCUGAUGCACGAAAGCGUGGGUAUCAAACAGG
rnacentral:rRNA from 1 species